rnacentral:lncRNA from 1 species
GGCAAGACUACAGAGAAGACUUUUUUCACUGGAGUCAGAUUUGGCAUCAGGAGCCAGCAUCUUAUAUUAGUUCUCUUCUUGUCAUCCAAGGCAGAGAUUGAAACCUUAAUUUGUCUGACUCCAAAACCCAUGCUCUAUGACGUAAUAAACAGAGGACUCAGCACUAGAAUAACUAAAAUUCCAGAUGCUACCUUAAAAUAAGAAGCAAGUAAGUAACUGACAUUCCUAGAAAAAUUUCAAG